rnacentral:lncRNA from 1 species
UUCCCACCCACUUUGACGAUCUCAUUUUACUAUCGUUUCUGACAGAGCUUUGCUGUGCUGGGGUAGGAGAAAGAUUAUCAAAGAAAAUGAUGCGUGUGAAUUGCUUUGUAAUCUAUGACUCACUAUACAGACCUAGCUUGAGAUAACAGAAGCAGGGAGCCUAGCCCAGGGACGCCACCAGAUCAGAGUGAAGAAAGCCUUGGCAGGUGGUAGGGUAGAGGCGGUGGGCAGCAGAUGGGGGUUGGCAGUGGAGGUAAGAUAAAGAAGCCUUUUGGAAGGGGAAGUGGGAGAAUCACAGAGCAUCCUCAGCGUGGCACCCUGAAGUAAGAGGAAGUAGGAAAGAGGAACAAGUGUGGGUAAUCCUAUAGCACAAAGAGCUGCCUCCCCCAGGACUGAGAAGACUAGCUGCCCCAGGGAAGGAUUCACAUGAAGCUUGGCCAGUGUCUUAACCCCAACUGCUCCAUGGCGCCCUCGAUCCAAACCUGUCUUCUCUCUGACAGUCAACAGAGAUCAUCUCUGGGACCAACUUCAUAAAGCCAAUUUAGACCAGUGCUGUCCAACAGAGAGAGAAUACAAACCACAAAUGCAAUUUUAAAUAUCCUUGUAGUCCCAUUUUUAGAAGUCCAAAGAAACAGGUAAAAUUAAUUUUAACACAUAUUUUAACCCAAUAUAAAAAUAUUAUUGUUUCAACAUGGCAUCAAUAUAAAAAAUUACUGAAAUAUUUUACGUUCUUUUUUCCCCAAUGAAGUCUUCAAGAUCCAAUGUGAAUUUUGUUCUUAGAAAACAUCUCAGUUUAGACCAGCCAUAUUUCCAUGGCUCAAUAACCACAUGUGGCUACUGGCUACCAUGUAGGACAGCAAAGAUUUAGAUUCUGUUAGAAGACAGAAUGGGAUCGCCCUCACCCAUGAGUCACUCAGAUCUCCCAGCUGACAGAGGCUGGAGGUUGGUGUUGGACCAGAGGAGAAAGCACAGGAGUGAUGUCCAGGCUGCCAUCCUGGCCUCUGGAAGUUCUGCUUCACCUGCUUAAUCAGAAGACAGGACCACUGCUUGUCAAAUACAUGUCACAUCUGCCCCAGAGGGUGUCAGCACUGCCCCUGGGAAUGGCACCAAUGACCUGUCGAAGUUCUAGAGGCCAAAGCAGGUCACUUUCUUUAGUUACAGGGGUGUCAACUUAUCCCUUAUCCAGAUGCCUUUUAUCUUACAGGGUGGGAGUGGGGGCAGACAGGCCUUCUUUUGGUCAAGAAUGAAGAUCUCUACAACCUUUUGUCAUCUGGUCCAGUCACCUAGUGGCAUCUCACCAAUAUUUGGAGCUGUUUUGUCAAUCCCUUAAUUUCUUUAAAUUUGUAUCUUAAAGUCAAAUGCUAAAAGGGAAUACACUGGGAAGAGCAGUGGCCACAGGCAGACUGGGCUCCGAGGAGGUGGUGGUGACAAGCCUGUCCCUUGCCCUGGGACUAGGUCCAUCAUUGCCUACCUCUCCUCCCCGUCCAGAGACCUUUCUUAGAGCUGAAGAAACCUCUUUUGUUCGGGAAAAAGACAAGCCGUGAGAUCUUAGUGCAGAGAACAGAAUAAAUGCAAGCAAGCAACCCUGGGCACUCUCAAAGUCUUUCAGAGAGCCAGUGUGACAAGGUUUGACUCAUUUAAAAUAUAACACUCUGAGCCCUGUGUUACUAAGCAAAAGAAAAUGAGCCAAUUUGGUGAGUAUGUCAUUACACAGGGACCAUAGCUGACAAAACUCUUCAACACCUGGAGUGUUUAUGGUCCACCAGAUUAUUGCUCAGUCAAUAUAAAUUUAUUUACCUUUACUUUAAUUUGCAUAGUGCUUUCUGAUUGGUUAGAUGAGGAGUGGUGUGUACUGCAGGAUUCCAACAUCGCCUCUGCCCUCGGAGGUAGCAAUUCCUGUGGUUAUUGGUGCUAAAAUAAGAUUAAAUAUUAUGUUAAUUUGUUCUGAUACGAUGUGAAUAAAUGUAUUGUUUAAUCUUAACAAGAAUGCUACAUCUUAUCAGAUCUAUUGUACUGUCUGUUUCUUCUCAUAAUUAAUUAAUUACAGGAAAGGUGAUCCAAACCAGAUCUUGAAACUAUUGUGCUAUUGAGAGGUGAAUUUAACAGGGAAGUGGGAGGGGGGAUGAAAAGGGAAAUUGCCAGGUUCCUGUGACUUUGCAAGGACUGAGGAAGCAGAGAGCAUUUGGGGACUUCACUGACACUGACUGCAUCUUGCAAUUUUCUUUUUCAAAUUGGCAGAAAUAUUGUAUUUCCAUCGAUUGAAGAAAAAAGUGUCUGGUAAUUAAUUAAAUGACUUGUUCAUGGAAAAAAUAAAAAUAAAUAAUCUGUCAGUUGUGGAAUGUAAACUGAUUAAACAAUUAAAUAAA